rnacentral:rRNA from 1 species
AUUGAACGCUGGCGGCAGGCUUAACACAUGCAAGUCGAGCGGGGGAAGGUAGCUUGCUACCGGACCUAGCGGCGGACGGGUGAGUAAUGCUUAGGAAUCUGCCUAUUAGUGGGGGACAACAUCUCGAAAGGGAUGCUAAUACCGCAUACGUCCUACGGGAGAAAGCAGGGGAUCUUCGGACCUUGUGCUAAUAGAUGAGCCUAAGUCGGAUUAGCUAGUUGGUGGGGUAAAGGCCUACCAAGGCGACGAUCUGUAGCGGGUCUGAGAGGAUGACCCGCCACACUGGGACUGAGACACGGCCCAGACUCCUACGGGAGGCAGCAGUGGGGAAUAUUGGACAAUGGGGGGAACCCUGAUCCAGCCAUGCCGCGUGUGUGAAGAAGGCCUUAUGGUUGUAAAGCACUUUAAGCGAGGAGGAGGCUACUUUAGUUAAUACCUAGAGAUAGUGGACGUUACUCGCAGAAUAAGCACCGGCUAACUCUGUGCCAGCAGCCGCCGUAA